rnacentral:misc_RNA from 1 species
CUACAACCACAAAAUUUGUCUCAAUCAUCAAUCAAAUCUAGCUAAAAAAGGACAGCGUGAUUUCCAAUACAAAGAUAUAAUGACCUUGAACAACCAAAAUCUCCCACCUUAUUUUUCAAAACAGGAUGCAGGAAAUUGUAGCUUUCUUUCUCUGAAUGUACAAAUCAUUCAUAGAUCAUAACAAUCAAGGUUCUCAGUUCUCACUUUGAUAUCAUUCUAUCUAUGUCACGGAUGGCAUUUUCUACAUAAACAAAAUAUCCUAUCUCACCAAUCACCAUUUAAAUAAUAAUGUCUUCAUUUAAAAUGUCUCCUAAAAAUUUGUAGUCAUUUACAUUAUUUUGCCACCCCAAAUGAAUUUAAAAUAAUUAAAUACAAAAACAAAAUCUGUAGACCCUAGUGGUCAUGCAAAUGACACAAGGGCCAAGUGGGGCAUUAAAGUGUUUGGAGGAAGAGAAAGCGGCAGGGAAAGACAAACAAGUCACAAGGAACUGAUAACAUUUUGUCCAACAGGGCUGUAUAUGUCCCAGUUUAGAAUAAAAGGUAUUUUAUUAACAAGGCUAGUGAAUUUAAAAUGGUUAUCCGGUUCACAUAUGCUCCCAAAAGUAAAAAUUCUUAUGCUACUUUUUUUGCUGCUUCUGAUUCAGUUUUUGAAUUCAUGAAGCUCAUGAAUCAGUCCAUCAGCAAACUUAAGAACAGCCUAAAAAAGCUAUGAGAACUUCAUGUAAGAGGACUUAUGGGCAUAACUUUAAAUUUCUUGUUGAAUUAAUGUGCUCAUUAUCGUGCCAUGAAGAGAAAAAGAACUAGUUUACAAUACUUUUUUUUUUAAAUUUUUUUAUUCACCUUCAUCAACAAACAUAUUUCAUGCUGAGAUUCUUUUCAUUUAUAACAGCCUGUUUACAGAUUGUUGGUCACAAAAUUGAACCCUGUUUGGGACAGCCUAACCCACUCCCCAGCUUGUCCAUGUAAAAUACUUGGCUGCACCUAUUGAAUUAUAUGAUAUACGCAUAAACCAUUUGAUAUGAUUCCAAUUAAGGAAAAAAAAUAUCCACAUUACAAGCCACCAUCAAAGAAAUUCAUAUUCAGUAAAUUAACAAAGUGCAAAUAUCAUGUCAUCAGAAG